GUCCACGCUGUAAACGAUGAGAGCUAGUUGUCGGCACGCAUGCGUGUCGGUGACGCAGCUAACGCAUUAAGCUCUCCGCCUGGGGAGUACGGCCGCAAGGUUAAAACUCAAAGAAAUUGACGGGGGCCCCGCACAAGCGGUGGAGCAUGUGGUUUAAUUCGAAGCAACGCGAAGAACCUUACCCACGUUUGACAUGUCCAGUUUGGUAGGCAGAGAUGCCUUCCUUCAGUUCGGCUGGCUGGAACACAGGUGCUGCAUGGCUGUCGU
rnacentral:rRNA from 1 species